rnacentral:rRNA from 1 species
AGUGAACGCUGGCGGUAGGCCUAACACAUGCAAGUCGAACGGCAGCACAGUAAGAGCUUGCUCUUACGGGUGGCGAGUGGCGGACGGGUGAGGAAUACAUCGGAAUCUACUUUUUCGUGGGGGAUAACGUAGGGAAACUUAUGCUAAUACCGCAUACGACCUACGGGUGAAAGCAGGGGAUCUUCGGACCUUGCGCGAUUGAAUGAGCCGAUGUCGGAUUAGCUAGUUGGCGGGGUAAAGGCCCACCAAGGCGACGAUCCGUAGCUGGUCUGAGAGGAUGAUCAGCCACACUGGAACUGAGACACGGUCCAGACUCCUACGGGAGGCAGCAGUGGGGAAUAUUGGACAAUGGGCGCAAGCCUGAUCCAGCCAUACCGCGUGGGUGAAGAAGGCCUUCGGGUUGUAAAGCCCUUUUGUUGGGAAAGAAAAGCAGCAGGUUAAUACCCCGCUGUUCUGACGGUACCCAAAGAAUAAGCACCGGCUAACUUCUUG